rnacentral:rRNA from 1 species
GAGUUUGAUCAUGGCUCAGAUUGAACGCUGGCGGCAGGCCUAACACAUGCAAGUCGAGCGGAUGAAGGGAGCUUGCUCCUGGAUUCAGCGGCGGACGGGUGAGUAAUGCCUAGGAAUCUGCCUGGUAGUGGGGGAUAACGUCCGGAAACGGGCGCUAAUACGCAUACGUCCUGAGGGAGAAAGUGGGGAGUCUUCGGACCUCACGCUAUCAGAUGAGCCUAGGUCGGAUUAGCUAGUUGGUGGGGUAAAGGCCUACCAAGGCGACGAUCCGUAACUGGUCUGAGAGGAUGAUCAGUCACACUGGAACUGAGACACGGUCCAGACUCCUACGGGAGGCAGCAGUGGGGAAUAUUGGACAAUGGGCGAAAGCCUGAUCCAGCCAUGCCGCGCGUGUGAAGAAGGUCUUCGGAUUGUAAAGCACUUUAAGUUGGGAGGAAGGGCAGUAAGUUAAUACCUUGCUGUUUUGACGUUACCAACAGAAUAAGCACGGCUAACUUCGUGCCAGCAGCAC